AAGGGUAGCAAUACCUGAGUAAAGUGGCGCACGGGUGAGUAACACGUGACUAACCUACCCUGGAGUGGGGGAUAACUGAGGGAAACCUUAGCUAAUACCGCAUAACACCUACGGGUCAAAGGAGCAAUUCGCUUCAGGAGGGGGUCGCGGCCGAUUAGUUAGUUGGCGGGGUAAUGGCCCACCAAGACAGUGAUCGGUAUCCGGCCUGAGAGGGCGCACGGACACACUGGAACUGAAACACGGUCCAGACUCCUACGGGAGGCAGCAGUGGGGAAUUUUGCGCAAUGGGGGAAACCCUGACGCAGCAACGCCGCGUGGAGGAUGAAGUACUUCGGU
rnacentral:rRNA from 1 species